rnacentral:pre_miRNA from 1 species
AGUGCAAUUGCUGGGUCAUAUGGUGAUUGCAUGAUUGCAUGUUCAGUGUUUUUAAGAAACUGUCAAACUAUUUUUCAGAGUGGCUGUACCAUUUUGCAUUCUCAACAGCAAU